GUGCUCGCUUUGGCAGCCUAUACACUAAAAUUGGAAUGAUAUAGAGAAGAUUAGCAUGGCUUCUGCGCAAGGAUGGCACGCAAAUUUGUGAAGCGUUCCAUUUUUAA
rnacentral:snRNA from 1 species